rnacentral:rRNA from 1 species
ACUCCUACGGGAGGCAGCAGUGGGGAAUAUUGGACAAUGGGCGAAAGCCUGAUCCAGCAAUGCCGCGUGAGUGAUGAAGGCCUUAGGGUUGUAAAGCUCUUUUACUGGGGAUGAUAAUGACAGUACCCAGAGAAUAAGNNCCGGCUAACUCC